AAGAGGACACACUUGACUCUUCCUCUCAGUUCUCCACACCUCGUCACCUACCUUCACUACCCUUAUCACUUCACUGUGUCCCCACUUCUCCCUGUGGCCACAAGCCCACAACUCUCUCUCUACCUCCUCAGGUUGCCCCUCCUCUUCGUCUCCACUACCGACGCGAGGUCUCGCACCCCCUCUCCCCACUCUUCUCAGCACUUCCUCGUCGAAUCGGUCUCUGAAGUGCCCGAGUAUCCGCUUGAGCUCGGCAUGCUCGCUAGCCGACCCAGUGCUAGGCGUGGACGAAGGCCGACGCGGAGGCACGGGACUCGUCUCCACCAGAUCAGCGGCCAUGGCAAUCGUGCAUCCGAAGCUCCGCGGCCCGGCACCAUGCCUUCCUCUCUGUCUCGCUCGCCCGACGCUUGGAGCGUCUGCUCGUCGUCGGCUCUCACCACCCUGUGCGUGCGGCUGUGCUGUGCCCGGCCCUGCCCAGGUGCGGAAAUAGUGCCGUGGUGGCUGGUCCCCUGCAACUGCAAGCCGACGCCAAUUAAUGAUCUAUUCCCCACUCCAGCUUUCAUAUCUGCUUAG
rnacentral:rRNA from 1 species